GGUAUUAUAUUUAAAACUCUCAACCAGAAAGGACAUGACUGAACUGUAUUGUCACUAUCAAAGAGCAAUUAUUCCCACUGGACGUUAAGGCCCAUUGUCAUGGACUUAAGCAUCCGCACAAGUCCAAGAGAAGGAAAGGCUA